UGGGGAAUAUUGGACAAUGGGCGAAAGCCUGAUCCAGCCAUGCCGCGUGUGUGAAGAAGGCCUUAUGGUUGUAAAGCACUUUAAGCGAGGAGGAGGGUACUGGUAUUAAUACUACCAGGUACUGGACGUUACUCGCAGAAUAAGCACCGGCUAACUCUGUGCCAGCAGCCGCGGUAAUACAGAGGGUGCGAGCGUUAAUCGGAUUUACUGGGCGUAAAGCGUGCGUAGGCGGCUAAUUGAGUCGGAUGUGAAAUCCCCGAGCUUAACUUGGGAAGUGCAUUCGAUACUGGUUAGCUAGAGUGUGGGAGAGGAUGGUAGAAUUCCAGGUGUAGCGGUGAAAUGCGUAGAGAUCUGGAGGAAUACCGAUGGCGAAGGCAGCCAUCUGGCCUAACACUGACGCUGAGGUACGAAAGCAUGGGGGGCAAACAGG
rnacentral:rRNA from 1 species